CUCUUUUGUGUUGUGCCUUCGAGACACGAGGACACAGCCCGAGGAAGCGGCUCGGAGGCAUCUUGAAGACUUGGAUCUGGUUUCUGGCCUCGCAGAAUGAAAAUCCGGAGACUGUGCUCACAUUUCCAUGGCUGGGGGUGAUCUCCGUUCUGUGGCAGGAGCCUGGAGCCCUUUGCUUUGUGGAAAUGAAUACAUUAUGAUGGGCACGAGCCAGAAGGAUCCUGCCUGGGUUUAGCUCUGCUGAGGCCAGAGUGCUGCAAGGAUGGGGUAGGUCCACGGUUUCUUGUAUGUGAGUGAUGCUAAUUAACAUCUGGGGAAUAACAGAAUUGUAGGGGUUGGUUUGUUUUUAACACUUGCUGUUCUGUAUGAGUAGAGAUCAUGUGGGGAAAGAAUAAGUUUGCUUUUUAUUUAUUUAUUUAAAGAUAGGCAGGCAUCAAAACCCCAUUCUCCUCUUUAAUCUCUUCAAGCUGAAGGUGCUUAGAACUUGUUGCACAGACUCAUCCACUGGCAGCUUAAUUAACUAAUGGUCCCAGAAAGCACUUAAGAG
rnacentral:lncRNA from 1 species